AUUCUAGUGAAUGAUGUUGAACUUUUUUCCCCGUCAUAUCGAUCAUGGUGACUAAAGAAAUUUAAGCCAAAUUAUUCUGAUGCUAGAGC
ensembl:snoRNA